UUGACUUCCCCCGCUCCCCACAAGGCAAAGUCUGGUUGGGGUCUGUGGUUUGGGGCCAGGGAGGAGGGGUUAAACUCACCGUCCCCAAAGUAUGGAGCUGCUGGCUUAAUUAGUGCUGUUUGCAACUGUGGACUACAAAUCCCAGAGGCACCUGGAAGAGGAAGAGGAAGUAGUGAGCAACCUUGUGGAGUUCUGCUGGUCUGAUGCCAGACUGCAAAUCCCAAAGGCCUCAGGGACAGCAGGAAGAGAACAGAAGAUGAGAAGGGUCCUCUACGAGCUUUUGAGUCCUGAGUUCUUCAGCCACCAUUUGUCCCAAAACAUCCACAAGGACACCCCCUCUGUCCUCAAAGCACCCAUGAAAAAAAAAAGUCCUACAGUCUGUCACAGGAAGAGAACAAGAAGGCCAAGGGCACCUUCAAUGCCUCACGGCUGAGGAGGCUGAAGCAGCAAGCGCAUCUGGUUAGAGAAAGAGGCAGUCAGUGGCAAAGGCAAAAUGAGAAAGCUGGACCUCCUGAUUCUCAGCUCCAGAUUCAAACCUACAUGACUUCUGUCCCUGAAACUUCUGAACCAGCCUCUUCACUCGGUGUAAGCUGGCACUAGCUGCUAAUAGUGCUGCAUUUGGGAUGAGUUGUUAUAGUCAAGACUUGAUCAUUUACAGUCAUUAAAGAUCUCGUGGUAUAUUUUGUGAGGAAAGGAUCCAUUUGCUGAUGUCUUGCUCCCAUAUGGUGAUAGAUUAUUCUAUUGUGAUUACUUAUAUUCCUAUUUAUGAUUUUGUUGACUAAGGCGUUAUUCUCUUCCCGUCCAUAAAAUACAUUGUAGUGUU